AAUAGCAUGAGUGCAUCUGUUGGGCUGAGGAAAUAAAGUUCCACAGAAUUAUGAUAUUGAAUUAUCUCCAGACAUCGAUGGCUUUUUAUAAAGUCUCUGAAAGCUUUGGUAUUGAUUGAGUGAAGGACACGAUUAUGACAGAAGGAUGCUGUGCACUGUGCUUGUUUGUUCCUCCCCGGGAACAUUGAAGAUUGCUUUGCUAUUUUGUUCAAACUGCAUUUGGCCAGUCCUGACACUUAAACCAAGCUGUGUACAUCGACGAAGCUGCGCCUUGACAUAUUGACCUGUGGACAUUAUUCAAAGACCCCCACACGAAAUCACCAUAUGAAAUGUACAAUAACUGUACAAUGUAUUCAUCGACUCCAAAGGCUGAGUCAAACAUCUGCUUCAAUUCCAGAGGCUGCUGGAGGAGCUGCCUCAGGCUGGACUCACCAACAGCCCUAAGAAAUGCCACUUCAUUCUGCUUGAACAGUGUUACCAAGAUUCUAGAUCAACUGGGGACUGAUAAAACCUUCAAAAGCAGACAGAAGCUGUGCAGUUUUAUACUUCCUGGCUUGCGAGUAUGAAUUAUGUAUGCCAUUUCCAAAGGUAGGCAGGUUACCAUCAGUGCCUCAUGCCUUGUUUUUCUAGUAUAUCAUCUCUCCUCUCAAGUGUGACCAGUAAUGGGCAGCAAGAAAAAAAUGCUAUGAACAUCUAAGGUAGAGCCAGCUUUUAGCUUCCUAAAAAAACCUUUCAACUGGUUUUACAUGCUCCAAGCUUUCAUCUACCCUUCUCAUUUCAUCUACCCUUCCAAUCUACCCUUCACUCUCCAUGUUCAUGCCAAGCUGCUUUCCAUGAAGACGAUGCCAUUCACUAUCUGACACCAGCAUUGUACAUGUCUUUGACAUCACUUUGCCAAUUUCUUG
ensembl:lncRNA